GGGCAUGUGGUGUAACUGGUGCACACCGGCGUCUCAAUAACUAAGUCCGGAGAAGUCGGUUCGAUUCCGACCUUGUCCA